UUAAAUAUAGUUUAACCAAAACAUUAUAUUUUCAUUAUAAAAAUAAUUUACUUUAAAUUUAUUUAAA
rnacentral:tRNA from 3 species